rnacentral:rRNA from 1 species
UAAGGAAUAUUGGUCAAUGGCGGCAAGCCUGAACCAGCCAUGCCGCGUGCAGGAUGAAGGCCCUAUGGGUUGUAAACUNCUUUUGUACGGGAAUAAACAUGNNNACGUGUAGGUUCUUGAAUGUCCCGUAAGACC